AUUGAACGCUGGCGGCAUGCCUUACACAUGCAAGUCGAACGGCAGCACGGGGGCAACCCUGGUGGCGAGUGGCGAACGGGUGAGUAACAUAUCGGAACAUACCCUAGAGUGGGGGAUAACGUAGCGAAAGUUACGCUAAUACCGCAUACGAUCUAAGGAUGAAAGUGGGGGAUCUUCGGACCUCAUGCUCAUGGAGUGGCCGAUAUCUGAUUAGCUAGUUGGUGAGGUAAAGGCUCACCAAGGCGACGAUCAGUAGCUGGUUUGAGAGAACGACCAGCCACACUGGAACUGAGGCACGGUCCAGACUCCUACGGGAGGCAGCAGUGGGGAAUUUUGGACAAUGGGGGCAACCCUGAUCCAGCAAUGCCGCGUGAGUGAAGAAGGCCU
rnacentral:rRNA from 1 species